rnacentral:sRNA from 1 species
AAAAACCGUAACCGUUUU